AUUGAACGCUGGCGGCAUGCCUUACACAUGCAAGUCGAACGGCAGCACGGGGGCAACCCUGGUGGCGAGUGGCGAACGGGAGAGUAAUGCAUCGGAACGUGACCAGUAGUGGGGGAUAACCCGGCGAAAGCCGGGCUAAUACCGCAUACGACCCAAGGGUGAAAGCGGGGGACCGUAAGGCCUCGCGCUAUUGGAGCGGCCGAUGUCUGAUUAGCUAGUUGGCGGGGUAAGAGCCCACCAAGGCGACGAUCAGUAGCUGGUCUGAGAGGACGACCAGCCACACUGGGGAUGAGACACGGCCCAGACUCCUACGGGAGGCAGCAGUGUGGAAUUUUGGACAAGUGGCGCAAGCCUGACCCCGCCAUGCCGGGGGCGGGAGGAAGGCCUUCGGGUUGUAAACCGCUUUUGGCAGGAACGAAACGGCGCAAGCCAAUACCUUGCGCUAAUGACGGUACCUGCAGAAUAAGCACCGGCUAACUACGUGCCAGCCGCCGCGGUAACAC
rnacentral:rRNA from 1 species